CUCCCAUUCAAUGUCAAACAUUACUUUUAUUCAAAAGAAAACGCCCAUUAACUUAAUCCCUUUUGUAAUCAAUUUUUUUCCCAAGGUUCAUAAUUUGCACAACUUUAUUCCCCAGUCAAAUUAUACUGAUCAGAUGUAUGAUUACUAGGGAAUUGUCCAAUAAGACUUUGACUUCUUCAACCAAAAGUUAUAGGAUUUACAUGGAGUAAAGAUAAAUGACGAAUAAAAUGACGAUUCCAUUGAUUAUGC